rnacentral:rRNA from 1 species
AGUGAACGCUGGCGGUAGGCCUAACACAUGCAAGUCGAACGGCAGCACAGUAAGAGCUUGCUCUUACGGGUGGCGAGUGGCGGACGGGUGAGGAAUACAUCGGAAUCUACUUUUUCGUGGGGGAUAACGUAGGGAAACUUACGCCAAUACCGCAUACGACCUACGGGUGAAAGCAGGGGAUCUUCGGACCUUGCGCGAUUGAAUGAGCCGAUGUCGGUUUAGCUAGUUGGCGGGGUAAAGGCCCACCAAGGCGACGAUCCGUAGCUGGUCUGAGAGGAUGAUCAGCCACACUAGAACUGAGACACGGUCCAGACUCCUACGGGAGGCAGCAGUGGGGAAUAUUGGACAAUGGGCGCAAGCCUGGUCCAGCCAUGCCGAGUGGGUGAAAGAAGCCUUCGGGUUUUAAAGCCCUUUUGUUGGGAAAGAAAAGCAGCAGGUUAAUACCCCGCUGUUCUGACGGUACCCAAAGAAUAAGCACCGGCUAACUUCGUG